UGCAAGUCGAGCGAAUGGAUUGAGAGCUUGCUCUUAUGAAGUUAGCGGCGGACGGGUGAGUAACACGUGGGUAACCUGCCCAUAAGACUGGGAUAACUCCGGGAAACCGGGGCUAAUACCGGAUAACAUUUUGAACUGCAUGGUUCGAAAUUGAAAGGCGGCUUCGGCUGUCACUUAUGGAUGGACCCGCGUCGCAUUAGCUAGUUGGUGAGGUAACGGCUCACCAAGGCAACGAUGCGUAGCCGACCUGAGAGGGUGAUCGGCCACACUGGGACUGAGACACGGCCCAGACUCCUACGGGAGGCAGCAGUAGGGAAUCUUCCGCAAUGGACGAAAGUCUGACGGAGCAACGCCGCGUGAGUGAUGAAGGCUUUCGGGUCGUAAAACUCUGUUGUUAGGGAAGAACAAGUGCUAGUUGAAUAAGCUGGCACCUUGACGGUACCUAACCAGAAAGCCACGGCUAACUACGUGCCAGCAGCCGCGGUAAUACGUAGGUGGCAAGCGUUAUCCGGAAUUAUUGGGCGUAAAGCGCGCGCAGGUGGUUUCUUAAGUCUGAUGUGAAAGCCCACGGCUCAACCGUGGAGGGUCAUUGGAAACUGGGAGACUUGAGUGCAGAAGAGGAAAGUGGAAUUCCAUGUGUAGCGGUGAAAUGCGUAGAGAUAUGGAGGAACACCAGUGGCGAAGGCGACUUUCUGGUCUGUAACUGACACUGAGGCGCG
rnacentral:rRNA from 1 species